AGAUUUUAACACGAAGUGAGUGGCGAACGGGUGAGUAACACGUGGGUAACCUGCCCAGAAGUAGGGGAUAACACCUGGAAACAGAUGCUAAUACCGUAUAACAGAGAAAACCGCAUGGUUUUCUUUUAAAAGAUGGCUCUGCUAUCACUUCUGGAUGGACCCGCGGCGUAUUAGCUAGUUGGUGAGGUAAAGGCUCACCAAGGCAGUGAUACGUAGCCGACCUGAGAGGGUAAUCGGCCACAUUGGGACUGAGACACGGCCCAGACUCCUACGGGAGGCAGCAGUAGGGAAUCUUCCACAAUGGACGCAAGUCUGAUGGAGCAACGCCGCGUGAGUGAAGAAGGGUUUCGGCUCGUAAAGCUCUGUUGUUAAAGAAGAACGUGGGUAAGAGUAACUGUUUACCCAGUGACGGUAUUUAACCAGAAAGCCACGGCUAACUACGUGCCAGCAGCCGCGGUAAUACGUAGGUGGCAAGCGUUAUCCGGAUUUAUUGGGCGUAAAGCGAGCGCAGGCGGUCUUUUAAGUCUAAUGUGAAAGCCUUCGGCUCAACCGAAGAAGUGCAUUGGAAACUGGGAGACUUGAGUGCAGAAGAGGACAGUGGAACUCCAUGUGUAGCGGUGAAAUGCGUAGAUAUAUGGAAGAACACCAGUGGCGAAGGCGGCUGUCUGGUCUGCAACUGACGCUGAGGCUCGAAAGCAUGGGUAGCGAACAGGAUUAGAUACCCUGGUAGUCCAUGCCGUAAACGAUGAUUACUAAGUGUUGGAGGGUUUCCGCCCUUCAGUGCUGCAGCUAACGCAUUAAGUAAUCCGCCUGGGGAGUACGACCGCAAGGUUGAAACUCAAAAGAAUUGACGGGGGCCCGCACAAGCGGUGGAGCAUGUGGUUUAAUUCGAAGCUACGCGAAGAACCUUACCAGGUCUUGACAUCUUCUGACAGUCUAAGAGAUUAGAGGUUCCCUUCGGGGACAGAAUGACAGGUGGUGCAUGGUUGUCGUCAGCUCGUGUCGUGAGAUGUUGGGUUAAGUCCCGCAACGAGCGCAACCCUUAUUACUAGUUGCCAGCAUUAAGUUGGGCACUCUAGUGAGACUGCCGGUGACAAACCGGAGGAAGGUGGGGACGACGUCAAAUCAUCAUGCCCCUUAUGACCUGGGCUACACACGUGCUACAAUGGAUGGUACAACGAGUCGCGAAACCGCGAGGUUAAGCUAAUCUCUUAAAACCAUUCUCAGUUCGGACUGUAGGCUGCAACUCGCCUACACGAAGUCGGAAUCGCUAGUAAUCGCGGAUCAGCAUGCCGCGGUGAAUACGUUCCCGGGCCUUGUACACACCGCCCGUCACACCAUGA
rnacentral:rRNA from 1 species